GGUUCAAUGGCGUAGUGGUUAUCGCAUCUGUCUUACAUCGCAAGCAUAUUUCCUACAUUCCAAUGGUAACACAGAAGGUCUCCGGUUCGAUCCCGGGUUGAAUCA